rnacentral:rRNA from 1 species
CAAAAAUCCGGGAUCACUUACGCCGAGCACCGAGACGAGUCCUAUGAGGACGAAGUGACUGACACCACGCUUCCAGGAAAAGCCACUAAGCUUCAGCUUAAGAAAAACCGUACCGCAAACCGACACAGGUAGGCAGGGUGAGAAUCCCAAGGCGCUUGAGAGAACUCGGGUGAAGGAACUAGGCAAAAUGGCACCGUAACUUCGGGAGAAGGUGCGCCCUUUGGUGUGGUCACGUGCGUGACUGAGCAUCGAAGGGUCGCAGUAACCUGGCCGCUGCGACUGUUUAUCAAAAACACAGCACUCUGCAAACACGAAAGUGGACGUAUAGGGUGUGACGCCUGCCCGGUGCUGGAAGGUUAAUUGAUGGGGUCAGCCGCAAGGCGAAGCUCUUGAUCGAAGCCCCAGUAAACGGCGGCCGUAACAAUAACGGUCCUAAGGUAGCGAAAUUCCUUGUCGGGUAAGUUCCGACCUGCACGAAUGGCGUAACGACAGCGGCGCUGUCUCCACCCGAGACUCAGUGAAAUUGAAAUCGCUGUGAAGAUGCAGCGUUCCCGCGGCAAGACGGAAAGACCCCGUGAACCUUUACUAUAGCUUUACACUGAACGUUGAGUUCUUCUGUGUAGGAUAGGUGGGAGGCUAUGAAACCAGGACGCUAGUUCUGGUGGAGCCAUCCUUGAAAUACCACCCUGAAGUGCUUGACGUUCUAACCUAGGCCCGUAAUCCGGGUCAGGGACCGUGUAUGGUGGGUAGUUUGACUGGGGCGGUCUCCUCCCAAAGAGUAACGGAGGAGCACGAAGGUACGCUCAGCGCGGUCGGACAUCGCGCACUGUGUGCAAAGGCAUAAGCGUGCUUGACUGCGAGAUCGACGGAUCAAGCAGGUACGAAAGUAGGUCUUAGUGAUCCGGUGGUUCUGUAUGGAAGGGCCAUCGCUCAACGGAUAAAAGGUACUCCGGGGAUAACGGGCUGAUACCGCCCAAGAGUUCAUAUCGACGGCGGUGUUUGGCACCUCGAUGUCGGCUCAUCACAUCCUGGGGCUGUAGCCGGUCCCAAGGGUAUGGCUGUUCGCCAUUUAAAGUGGUACGCGAGCUGGGUUCAGAACGUCGUGAGACAGUUCGGUCCCUAUCUGUCGUGGGCGUUGGAGAUUUGAGGGGGGCUGCUCCUAGUACGAGAGGACCGGAGUGGACGUUCCGCUGGUGUUCGGGUUGUCAUGCCCAUGGCAUUGCCCGGUAGCUACGAACGGAAGUGAUAACCGCUGAAAGCAUCUAAGCGGGAAGCACGCCCCAAGAUGAGAUCUCCCGAGAGCUUGACUCUCCUAAAGGCACCAUCAAGACUAGGUGGUUGAUAGGUCAGGUGUGGAAGCGCAGCAAUGCGUUGAGCUAACUGAUACUAAUGAGCCGUGAGGCUUGACCU